AGAGUUUGAUCCUGGCUCAGGACGAACGCUGGCGGCGUGCCUAACACAUGCAAGUCGAACGGAGCAUUUCGGUGCUUAGUGGCGAACGGGUGAGUAACGCGUGAGGAACCUGCCUUUCAGUGGGGGACAACAGUUGGAAACGACUGCUAAUACCGCAUAAUGUAUUUGAACCGCAUGAUUUAAAUACCAAAGAUUUAUUGCUGAAAGAUGGCCUCGCGUCUGAUUAGAUAGUUGGUGGGGUAACGGCCCACCAAGUCGACGAUCAGUAGCCGGUCUGAGAGGAUGAACGGCCACAUUGGGACUGAGACACGGCCCAGACUCCUACGGGAGACAGCAGUUAGGAAUAUUCGUCAAUGGGGGAAACCCUGAACGAGCAAUGCCGCGUGAAUGACGAAGGCCCUAUGGGUUGUAAAGUUCUGUUGUUUGGAAAGAACUGUGAGGUUAGGAAAUGAACUUCACUUGACGGUACCAUUCAAGAAAGCCCCGGCUAACUACGUGCCAGCAGCCGCGGUAAUACGUAGGGGGCGAGCGUUAUCCGGAUUUAUUGGGCGUAAAGGGUGCGUAGGCGGCUUGCUAAGUAUGAGAUCAAAUCCCGAAGCUUAACUUCGGUUCGUUUCAUAAACUGGCAGGCUUGAGUACGGUAGAGGCAAAUGGAAUUCCUAGUGUAGUGGUAAAAUGCGUAGAUAUUAGGAGGAACAUCAGUGGCGAAGGCGAUUUGCUGGGCCGUUACUGACGCUGAGGCACGAAAGCGUGGGGAGCAAAUAGGAUUAGAUACCCUAGUAGUCCACGCCGUAAACGAUGAGUACUAAGUGUCGGGUUACCGGUGCUGAAGUUAACACAUUAAGUACUCCGCCUGAGUAGUACGGUCGCGAGGCUGAAACUCAAAGGAAUUGACGGGCACCCGCACAAGCGGUGGAGCAUGCUGUUUAAUUCGAAGAUACGCGAAGAACCUUACCUAGAUUUGACAUCCCCGGCAAUGCUAUAGAAAUAUAGCGGAGGUUACCCGGGAGACAGGUGGUGCAUGGUUGUCGUCAGCUCGUGUCGUGAGAUGUUUGGUUAAGUCCAAUAACGAGCGCAACCCUCUUCCUAAGUUGCUAACAUUUAGUUGAGAACUCUUAGGAUACUGCCAGUGCAAACUGGAGGAAGGUGGGGAUGACGUCAAAUCAUCAUGCCCCUUAUGACUAGGGCUACACACGUGCUACAAUGGCGUAAACAAAGGGAAGCGAAGUGGUAACAUGGAGCGAAUCCCAAAAAUAACGUCCCAGUUCGGAUUGUAGUCUGCAACUCGACUACAUGAAGCUGGAAUCGCUAGUAAUCGUGGGUCAGCACACCACGGUGAAUACGUUCCCGGGCCUUGCACACACCGCCGGUCAA
rnacentral:rRNA from 1 species